rnacentral:rRNA from 1 species
UACGAAGGGGGCUAGCGUUGUUCGAUCACUGGGCGUAAAGCGCACGUAGCGGAUGUGCCAGUCAGGGGUGAAAUCCCGGAGCUCAACUCCAGAACUGCCUUCGAUACUGGCGAUCUAGAGUCCGGAAGAGGUGAGUGGAACUCCUAGUGUAGGGGUGGAAUUCGUAGAUAUGGGGAGGAACACCGGUGGCGAAGGCGGCCACCUGGACGGCAACUGACGCUGAGACGCGAAAGCGUGGGGAGCAAACAGG